rnacentral:lncRNA from 10 species
CUCCGGGUGAGGAGCAGCUCAGAUGGCCCCGGUAGCAGAAGGAACAGGGAUGGGACCAGUCCUGGUUGAAUACUCACAUCCAGGUGGCCACAGCAUGACAUAGGCUUGAGUGAACUGAGAGAACCAGCCUGGAUGGCAGAGCUUUUGUUUCAGCUCACCUGCACUGAAGCUGUUUCCCAAGAGGAUGACCCGGGUGCCUGCCUGGCUAAGUAACAAGCAAACAUUUCGGAGCCUAAGUUUGGGAAAGAGCCUGAAGGCCCCUACACCCUGAAGCAACAUUCCAAGCCUUGCUGCUCACAAUGCGGUCCCGGGACCAGCGGCAGCAGCAGCAGCCCAGGACGCUUGUUAGAAAUGCGGCACCUCCGGCCCCACUUCAGACGUUCUGAACCCAAAUCUGCAUUUUAUCACGAUCCCAGGUGAUUCAUGUGCCCGUUAGAGUGAGCGAAGCCCUGGAUUAGAGAACAGAAAUUAGACGUGACCCUUCCUUUGACAGGAAUUUAUCACCAGGCUCUAUCUCAAGAACUGUGAGAAUUCGGUUCAGAUGUUUGUGAUAACUCUGCAGCAGUAACUGACUAGCGUGGUGGUUCUCUUCCCUGACUGGGCGUUGGAAUCAGCGAGGGAAGUUUUAAAAGAUGUUGAUGUGCAGAAUUUACCCAAGAGGUUGUGAUUCAAUGGGUGUCUGGGAAGGGGCUGGGACAUCUGUGUUUACUUAGAGUUCCCCAGGUGAUUCUACUGUGCAGCCAGGGCUAAGAGGCCCUGGGGUACAAAUAUCAUCUUGAAUGGUUAGACUUCUUUCUGAAUGGGAGUGAUGUAAUUUCCGAUUUGCCCACCGAGCACAGCAUGCUGGGCCCUGAGGAUGUUACAGAAGUGGAUACCAUUAUUGCUCUCCAGGGACAAUUCAUCGAGGAACAAUAUGGCAUCUGCAAGGUGAAAAAAGAGCGAUAACAGGAGAUGCCGCAAAGUGUGGCUUCCAGACACAAGAGUGUGCUGGGAGGAGAGCUGAGGAGAAAAACACAGGAAUCUGACAUGAAGGGAAGAAACAAACUAGAUUUUUACAUAAAAAGACCUUGAUUCAAAGGCCACCCUUCUCAUGGCUCAUCAAAGGACCUAUGCAACAUCCUGCCAGCCUGCCCUGCCUUGGUUUCUAGAUCUAUGAAAUGGGGGAGCUGCACCCGAUCACUGCUAUGGCUCCUCCUAACCGUGCAAAACAUUGCCAUGCCCAGCAACAGCCAGAGCCAAGUUGCCUGCUUAUAUUGUCCUGCCACUGCCCAGAAGUAAUAAUGGGUAACACCACUGCUAUUUGAAAGAUGAAAUGAGACUAUUCUCAUAAAGAAGCAGACAAGUUAUCCAGGGAGGUGUGCCAGCACAGCAGAGCAAAGAUGAGUCAGGAAUAAGGACACCUGGGGUCUGGUUCUAAUUCUGUUUCUGACCUGAUUUUCUAUAUGAUCUUUGACAAGUUGUUCAGUGUGUUUCUGGACCAAAUGUUAUACAAACAUAAAGGGACACUCUGCCCAUUAUUAUCAGCAGUAAUUAAUUGAGGUUACGUUUGUCUGUCUGCUUCUUUUUGUUUAGCUAUCCUCAGCCAUCUUGUUCCCCCAAGGAUUAAGGACAGCUUAAAAAUGAGGUAACACUCUAGAGAAAAUCCCCCAAAUCAGACCCCCUUAUCUGACUCCCUCAAUAUUUUAAUGCUGGCCAUGAAGAAGACAAUGAGCCUUGAGUCUCCUGUUCCAGUCCUGGUCCUGCUAACACAUUAGCCAUGUAACCUGGGGAAAAUCACUUCACUCCUCUGGAACUUGGGGUCUGUGGUGGUUUAAAAACAUGUCCACAGGCUGGGCGCGGUGGCUCACCCCUGUAAUCCCAGCACUUUGGGAGACCAAGGUGGGUGAAUCACUUGAGGUUCAGAGUUCAAGACCAGCCUGGCCAACAUGGUGAAACCCUGU